rnacentral:rRNA from 1 species
AGUGAACGCUGGCGGCGUGCCUAAUACAUGCAAGUCGAACGGAGUGGCGCACGGGUGAGUAAUAUAUAGCUACUCUGCCCCUUGCUGGAGGACAACAGAUAGAAAUGACUGCUAAUACUCCAUAGCAAGGGAUGAGACUAUAUCGUAUCAGCUAGUCGGUGGGGUAACGGCCUACCGAGGCUAUGACGCGUAACUGGUCUGAGAGGAUGAUCAGGGACAUGGGAACUGAGACGCGGGCCAGACUCGUACGUGAGGCAGCAGUGGGGAAUAUUGAGCAAUGGGGGGAGUUCUGACGCAGCAACGCCGCGUGGGGGAUGACACUUUUCGGAGAGGAAACUCCUUUGGUUAGGGAAGCGGUACCGAAAGAAUAAGCACCGGCUAACUCCGUGCCAGCAGCCGCGGUAAUAC